rnacentral:rRNA from 1 species
CAAUAACAGGUCUGUGAUGCCCUUAGAUGUUCUGGCCGCACGCGCGCUACACUGACGCGAUCAACGAGCCUAGCCUUGGCCGAGAGGUCCGGGUAAUCUUGCAAACCGCAUCGUGAUGGGGAUAGAUUAUUGCAAUUAUUAAUCUUCAACGAGGAAUGCCUAGUAAGCGCGAGUCAUCAGCUCGCGAUGAUCACGUCCCUGCCCUUUGUACACACCGCCCGUCGCUCCUACCGAUUGGGUGUGCUGGUGAAGCGUUCGGAUUGGUGGCUCCAAGCGGUUCGCCGCCGGGGGCAACCGAGAAGUUCGUUAAACCCUCCCACCUAGAGGAAGGAGAAGUCGUAACAAGGUUUCCGUAGGUGAACCUGCGGAAGGAUC